GAUGAACGCUGGCGGCGUGCCUAAUACAUGCAAGUCGAGCGAACAGAUAAGGAGCUUGCUCCUUUGACGUUAGCGGCGGACGGGUGAGUAACACGUGGGUAACCUACCUAUAAGACUGGAAUAACUCCGGGAAACCGGGGCUAAUGCCGGAUAACAUUUAGAACCGCAUGGUUCUAAAGUGAAAGAUGGUUUUGCUAUCACUUAUAGAUGGACCCGCGCCGUAUUAGCUAGUUGGUAAGGUAACGGCUUACCAAGGCAACGAUACGUAGCCGACCUGAGAGGGUGAUCGGACACACUGGAACUGAGACACGGCACAGACACCUACAGGAGGAAGCAGUAGGGAAUCUUCCGCAAUGGGCGAGAGCCUGACGGAGCAACGCCGCGUGAGUGAUGAAGGUCUUCGGAUCGUAAAACUCUGUUAUUAGGGAAGAACAAAUGUGUAAGUAACUGUGCACGUCUUGACGGUACCUAAUCAGAAAGCCACGGCUAACUACGUG
rnacentral:rRNA from 1 species